GGCCUCGUAGUACAAUGGNUAGUAUGUGGGUUUCCGGAGCCCAAGAUCUAGGUUCGAUUCCUAGCGAGGCUA
rnacentral:tRNA from 1 species